rnacentral:lncRNA from 1 species
CUCUAUACUCUCAUGACCCCAUCAAGAGCAGAGGGAAGACCCUCACUCAAACACAGAAGAAAAGGAAAGACGAAAAGAAAAAGCGAUGAACUACACCGAUGAUAGGUGAAAAACAAACUACAUCAAAGGCACAAGGGACCUCGUCUCGACGAGAGAGAAAACCCUUAUCAAAAAUCUUUAGUCCCUAAGGGCAAAUCGACACGACGACGAUCAGGAACCUUCAAACUACGUCGGCAACGAACA